GGGCGCUUAGCUCAGCUGGGAGAGCAUCUGCCUUACAAGCAGGGGGUCAUAGGUUCGAGCCCUAUAGCGCCCACCA
rnacentral:tRNA from 14 species